AUUGAACGCUAGCGGCAGGCUUUACACAUGCAAGUCGAGCGAGCGGCGGACGGGUGAGUAAUGUAUGGGAAACUGCCUAAUGGAGGGGGAUAACUACUCGAAACGGUGGCUAAUACCGCAUACCAUCAGAUCGGCCGAGAUGGGAUUAGCUAGUAGGUGGGGUAAAGGCUCACCUAGGCGACGAUCCGUAGCUGGUUUGAGAGGAUGACCAGCCACACUGGGACUGAGACACGGCCCAGACUCCUACGGGAGGCAGCAGUGGGGAAUAUUGGACAAUGGGGGCAAGCCUGAUCCAGCCAUGCCGCGUGUGUGAAGAAGGCCUUCGGGUUGUAAAGCACUUUUGGCGGGGAAGCGGUAUCUGCAGAAGAAGCACCGGCUAACUACGUGCCAGCAGCCGCGGUAAUAC
rnacentral:rRNA from 1 species